GUGCCAGCCGCCGCGGUAAUACAGAGGGUGCUAGCGUUGUUCGGAAUUAUUGGGCGUAAAGAGCGCGUAGGCGGUUUGCUAAGUCUGGUGUGAAAGCCCUCGGCUUAACUGAGGAAGUGCAUUGGAUACUGGCAAGCUUGAGUGUGAGAGAGGAGAGUGGAAUUCCUGGUGUAGCGGUGAAAUGCGUAGAUAUCAGGAGGAACACCGGUGGCGAAGGCGGCUCUCUGGAUCAUAACUGACGCUGAGGCGCGAAAGCGUGGGUAGCAAACAGGAUUAGAUACCCCAGUAGUCC
rnacentral:rRNA from 1 species